CCUACGGGUGGCAGCAGUGGGGAAUAUUGGGCAAUGGGCGCAAGCCUGACCCAGCAACGCCGCGUGAAGGAAGAAGGCUUUCGGGUUGUAAACUUCUUUCCUCAGGGAAGAAGCAAGCGACGGUACCUGAGGAAUAAGCCACGGCUAACUACGUGCCAGCCGCCGCGGUAAUACGUAGGUGGCAAGCGUUCUCAGGUUUUACUGGGUGUAAAGGGAGUGUCGGCGGGGACGCAAGUCAGAUGUGAAAACCACGGGCUCAACCUGUGGCCUGCAUUUGAAACUGUGUUUCUUGAGUACUGGAGAGGCAGACGGAAUUCCUAGUGUAGCGGUGAAAUGCGUAGAUAUUAGGAGGAACACCAGUGGCGAAGGCGGUCUGCUGGACAGCAACUGACGCUGAGGCGCGAAAGCGUGGGGAGCAAACAGGAUUAGAUACCCGGGUAGUC
rnacentral:rRNA from 1 species